rnacentral:rRNA from 1 species
UCCGUAGGCGGUGCGGCAAGUCGGAAGUGAAAUCUCUGGGCUUAACUCAGAGGCUGCUUCCGAAACUGCCGUGCUCGAGUGUGAGAGAGGCGAGUGGAAUUACGGGUGUAGCGGUGAAAUGCGUAGAUAUCCGUAGGAACAUCCGAGGCGAAAGCGGCUCGCUGGAUCACAACUGACGCUGAGGGACGAAAGCGUAGGGGAGCAAACAGGAUUAGAUACCCUGGUAGUCCUAGCCCUAAACCGUCAGGACUUGGGGUUUGCCCUGUACGGGGCAAGUCCCGGAGCUAACGCGUUAAGUCCUGCGCCUGGGGAGUACGGUCGCAAGGCUGAA